UAAUACGUAGAAGGCGAGCGUUAUUCGGAUUUAUUGGGCGUAAAGAGGGCGUAGGCGGCUUUUCAAGUCGGAUGUAAAAUCUCCCGGCUCAACUGGGAGGGACCAUCCGAUACUGUUAGGCUAGAGGGCAGCAGAGGGAGGUGGAAUUCCCGGUGUAGUGGUGAAAUGCGUAGAUAUCGGGAGGAACACCAGUGGCGAAGGCGGCCUCCUGGGCUGUUUCUGACGCUGAGGCCCGUAAGCGUGGGGAGCAAACAGGAUUAGAUACCCUGGUAGUCCACGCCGUAAACGAUGGACACUAGGUAUGGGGAGUAUCGACCCUCUCUGUGCCGAAGUUAACGCGUUAAGUGUCCCGCCUGGGGAGUACGGCCGCAAGGCUA
rnacentral:rRNA from 1 species